AAUAAGCACAGUUAUGGGUUUCAGUGUUCAACUUUAACUAUCCAUUUUAUUUGAAAUAUUUUUAUAAUUAGUAUUUUUAUUGUAACUUUUAAAUUUUUUUUUAUAAAUUUUUUAAAUAAGACGGAUGGUCAAACGUUACAGACGGAAACUUAUGGCUGCAUUUAUG
rfam:Oryza rufipogon genomic scaffold, chr11